AAAAUUAAACCAUCCCAUAUCAAGCAGAACUACAUGAACCGUACAUGUCAACCUGAGUGGAUGAGAAAAUAAGGGACUGAGGUGCACGCUCAACAGAGUACAUCAGAACUCAACACAAAAGGCAUACAUAUAUCUUCUUUAGUACAUUCCCAGGUAGACAGCGUGUUAAGGACUGAUGGUACAUUAUAUCUCAACAAGCAUUUGAGUACUCGAGUACAUGGGAACACAACACAAGAGGCAUACAUAGAUCAUUUUUAGUACAUUUCCAGGAAAACGAAGUAUUAAGGAUUGAUGUAUGCUAGAUAAGAUCUAUGAUCUUGCCUUCAUAUUUUAGUGCCUCUUGCUAAUCGAGCUUCAUCUGCUGGAAUAGACGACCACCUCCAUGGAUUCUAUAUAGACCUUUUUUUGAAGGCGACUCUGUAUAAACUUCAUCAAUUCAAUCCACCUAGUUAAGCAUACCAAUUAAAUAAGUUUGUUAGAAACAUAUAUCAAACAUCAUAUAUUGAGAAGAGAGGAAGUCCUUAUGUCCAGCUUCAUACGCCAUUUGCCACAACUGAACUAAGAAAGAGAUGAACACAAACUUUUUUACUGAAAAGAGCUCUUCCACUGAAGCACAUUAUCGACGACCCUUUGUUGUCCGGGACGUACACCGAAUCCGACAUUGUGAGCAUAUGUCCUGUAAAAUUCUAGUACCGAGCCAAUGUCAUCAAAUAUCAUCCCUACUUUGGGCUUCAGUUCCUCGUCACACUGGGGUUUGUACAAAGAACCCUGGAACAUCAAUUGCAAGGUUAGUACCAGUGACCUUGCAUGAAAAAUGUGAUAUCAUAUUUACUUGUAAAGACUACAUGCUUUUCACUUAUGAGAUCUCAUUUUCUAUCAUAACAAAUAAUAUAUUUCGAAACAGGCAAAAUUCAGCUACUAUUGGCCUUAUUCAACGCCAUUUAACGAGUAUUACAAGUUGUGUCCAGUGUGCGUACCUCUUGAGAGAAGGAAUUAAUCUAUGUCAAAAUCCAAAUAGAUAGUCAACUCCCAGAAAUCAAUGAAGUGCCACAUAUUUGCAAGUGUGUAAUACAUUCCAGUCUUGUUCCAGCAAGCACUUCACGUUCAGAUACUUUAAUAGGCAGUAUGUGUGAUUAGUUUGUUCUCAUGUAUAGUAAAAGCUAAGUUGACAGAAUUUCUGUUUCUUGUUAUGGAAAAUGAACAUUGAAUAAAGGUCUCUCCCAACUAACUGAAAUUGGCUCAGAAAAGUGGAAGUACAUACUAAACUAAGAUUUGUACUAUAAUUGACAACUUGACAUGUAUCACAGGUGAUUUUUAGCUCGAAUCAAAAGUUGUAAGCAUAUAUGCUGGCAAUAUAGCUAUUCUGUUGCAUGAAUAGAUUUUCUGUCCUGGGCCAUUUCCUUUAGCUCUCUCUAUGUAUAACAUAGUGUGCCGCUAGCAGGUUAGCUACUGUAGUGUUCAGGCAUAUCUAGCUGAAUAUAGCCUUUGCUCAAAAACAGUUUUAAGCUUCCAAGCUACUGCUACUCACAAUCAAAUUAUAUCAUCUACACUAUAUGUCCAUAUGUUUAAAUUUUGAAAUGCAGCCAUUCAUAUCAUUUCCAAAGAUCCAUAAUUUCUAAAUCUCCUCCUAGAGGAUACCUUGAUGAAAACAAACAAAAUUAUACAGUGUUCAACAGCAAUCCAACAUAUGCUCCCAGCACAAAUUUAAAGUGAGAGUGCUUUUUUGACUGGAAGAACUCAAGUAAAUAACUAUGAAUGGAAAUAUUAUGCACAUGAUAUGGACAGUCGUAGUCACAUCUGAACGAAGGAGUACUUCCUAAGUAAAAUGACCUAGAAAUCUGAAAUUGGUAGCAGCUUCAGCAGAUAGCAUACCUUAAGACCCGAGUUUUCUUCUCUGGCGUCGGUGGGUGGCCGAGCUAGCCGCACAUGAGUAGGGGGCAACUAUGGAGAAUGGCGGAUUGGGGUAGGAAAAAGUACGGGGCGAGGUCGACCUCUGAAUGCCGGAGCAGAGUACCCUCAAGUGCGGAUUGGAACAGGGCGAGACCCGCCGGGGCAGCACCGACCGCGUCGAGACGACCAAGAGCUGGAACGGCACCUCCACUGGCCGUACUCACCCAGCUAGGCACCGGAUCUGGACCUCCGCCACGGUCGGCGGACGAUAAGCGAGCGGAUUGGUCCCAGAGGCGGCUGGCGGUCAAGCUAGAUUUGGGAAUUUGGGGUUGUG
rnacentral:lncRNA from 1 species